CGGUGGUUAUAGCAAAGAGGCCACACCUGUUCCCAUCCCGAACACAGUAGUUAAGCUCUUUUACGCCUUGGGUACUUCGGGCGCAGGCCCGCGGAAGAGUAGGCAGCUGCCG
rnacentral:rRNA from 1 species